rnacentral:tRNA from 1 species
GCCCCUGUGGUGGAAUUGGUAGACACGACAGACUCAAAAUCUGUUGCCCGCAAGGGCGUGCUGGUUCGAGUCCGGCCAGGGGCACCA